AGGGCAGUUCUUUUUAGUAUUCCAGAGUCGCGCCAAAGCCGAUUCAAAGACCGCUGUUCGCCUACAGCAGCAGCCAUCUUCUUUGUUUUCAAAUAGCAGGGAAUUCACGCGAAAUCGUCGCAACUCUGCCGUCCUGAUGUGAAGCCCGCCCACAGACUCUAUACUCCAUGUGAUUGGCCAAACCAGAAUUAGUUUUUUCCAGCUCUCAAGCCCACGGAGAGUUGCUAGACCGACCCUAGCUGCAAACUCCAUUUGCUGCCGCUAGGGCGCGUCUAGAUUUCUAGGCUAAGAAACUAACCAUUAAAAGAAGGAAAG